rnacentral:rRNA from 1 species
AUUGAACGCUGGCGGCAUGCCUUACACAUGCAAGUCGAACGGCAGCACGGGAGCAAUCCUGGUGGCGAGUGGCGAACGGGUGAGUAAAGUAUCGGAACGUGCCCAGUCGUGGGGGAUAACGUAGCGAAAGUUACGCUAAUACCGCAUACGAUCUAUGGAUGAAAGCGGGGGAUCGCAAGACCUCGCGCGAUUGGAGCGGCCGAUAUCAGAUUAGGUAGUUGGUGGGGUAAAGGCUCACCAAGCCGACGAUCUAUAGCUGGUCUGAGAGGACGACCAGCCACACUGGGACUGAGACACAGCCCAGACUCCUACGGGAGGCAGCAGUGGGGAAUUUUGGACAAUGGGCGCAAGCCUGAUCCAGCCAUGCCGCGUGCAGGAUGAAGGCCUUCGGGUUGUAAACUGCUUUUGUACGGAACGAAAAGGUUUGGCCUAAUAAGCUGAGCUCAUGACGGUACCGUAAGAAUAAGCACCGGCUAACUACGUGCCAGCCGCCGCGGUAA